rnacentral:rRNA from 1 species
ACGCUGGCGGCAGGCCUAACACAUGCAAGUCGAGCGGAAACGACACUAACAAUUCCUCGGGUGCGUUAAUGGGCGUCGAGCGGCGGACGGGUGAGUAAUGCCUAGGAAAUUGCCUUGAUGUGGGGGAUAACCAUUGGAAACGAUGGCUAAUACCGCAUAAUGCCUACGGGCCAAAGAGGGGGACCUUCGGGCCUCUCGCGUCAAGAUAUGCCUAGGUGGGAUUAGCUAGUUGGUGAGGUAAUGGCUCACCAAGGCGACGAUCCCUAGCUGGUCUGAGAGGAUGAUCAGCCACACUGGAACUGAGACACGGUCCAGACUCCUACGGGAGGCAGCAGUGGGGAAUAUUGCACAAUGGGCGAAAGCCUGAUGCAGCCAUGCCGCGUGUAUGAAGAAGGCCUUCGGGUUGUAAAGUACUUUCAGUUGUGAGGAAGGGGGUAGCGUUAAUAGCGCUAUCUCUUGACGUUAGCAACAGAAGAAGCACCGGCUAACUCCGUGCCAGCAGCCGCGGUAAUACGGAGGGUGCGAGCGUUAAUCGGAAUUACUGGGCGUAAAGCGCAUGCAGGUGGUUCAUUAAGUCAGAUGUGAAAGCCCGGGGCUCAACCUCGGAACUGCAUUUGAAACUGGUGAACUAGAGUACUGUAGAGGGGGGUAGAAUUUCAGGUGUAGCGGUGAAAUGCGUAGAGAUCUGAAGGAAUACCAGUGGCGAAGGCGGCCCCCUGGACA